rnacentral:lncRNA from 1 species
CUUCGAUAAUUGAAUUAGACAAUUUAUAUGGUUCAGCCUUUUAUUACAAUUGAAUUUGGAAUUCCAUACAUGUAAUAAAGGAUUUAUGAGCUUUCGUGAAAUGGAAAUGGUUUUCUACCCCUCGUAGUAACAAGUUUUUAAAAGAAAAAAUGUUUUCGUGUGGGAAACAGUUUUUAAAAUAUUUUCUCGUGGUUUUUGUGAUUUAGUAUUUCAAAACCAGUUUCCGGGUAGGAAAUAUUUUAAACUAAUAGACAUGGAUUUAUGAUUAAGACCCUGAAUGUGAAAAUGUUGGUGAAUGGUGUAUGAAUGUAUGAUUGUUUAUAUAUUCAGUUGUGGUGAUUGUGUUUUAUUAUGUACCUUGUACGUGUGUGACGCCGUGCAAAUACAGGGGAGACUCGGUCCGCGUGAACAGUGAACUCCCUAUAUUUGUGGCGGAUCUAGCAUACCUUGGUGGUCAGGUUUUCAAAAAAAAAAAAAAAAUUGGACACUUCUGUUGUGUUUUUAAACUAAGAAGAGUCCCCGGGGCGUGACAAAAUAUAGAAUAAAUAUGAUAGAGAAAAAAAGCGGUGGAGUGGGAAAAAAAAAAGGGCUAAGAAUGAGGGGGAGGAUUAGGUGUGAGGAUGGAGUGAAGAAAGUUUUCAGGAGGAAGAAUAAGCCUUCUGAGGAAAAAGACGAAGAGGAAGAGGAAGAGGAAAAGGUAGGUGAGAUGGAGAAACAAAAAAAUAACGCGACAGAGUUAUCCAGGCAUGUGAUAUAAAAAAU